UUCUGUUUUGAGCAUAUAACUGUUUACAUUCUGUUUUUGUUUCUGUUAUCUAAUUUUCUUAGUUAGUUGAACUGUGAAACCGCAUCUUGGCGGUUCUUUAGAUAAACAGCUUGUAAUAUAAAUAAGAUUGAAGAGCAAGCAAGUCAAUAAGCUCCCAGAUGAAUGUUCUUCAUUGAAUACAGAGAAAGAAAAUCCAAAAUCCUUCAUCCAUUCUCAUCUCUUGUUCUGUUCGUAAGUCUUCACAGCUAAAGCAGUUAAUCUGUCAGUAACGAGCUUGUCAUGCUAGGUUUGGGGAAAUAAUUUCAAGGAAAAAAGCAGCGACUGCGAGAAUGGAAUUUUUCAGCUAAUAUCAGUCCUGUUCUUUUUCGUUUCCUUUUUUCCCUUUUGCAUUCUAAGAAAGUGGCGCAAUCCUCUUACUCUGCAACCAGGUUAUGAGCGGCUCUGCUGUCUAUGCUGCAUGCAGCCUCGUGACCACACUUUUGCUACAACAUGCGCGUGUCAAGAGCCCAGGCAUUUGAGGGAGGAGAAGGUGAUAGAGCGCCUUCAUUUCAGUCACAGGGGUUUUGGGAGCGGACAUUGAUCAAUCACAUACUAACGCGGGCAGCAUACAUGGCAAGUCUGUUGUUCUUUUGGUAAACUUAAUUUGCAGCGCUUAGUUGGGUGGAGCUGACUAUACAUCAUUUGGCUUCCGAGAGCUGACACUUGUCAAUGAAUGGAGUAUCAUGUGCUUAGCAUAGUAAGAAAACCAGUCUCUGAAACACAAGCACUGUUGACUUAUGUAUGCUUCUUUAGGAGUUUCCCAUCGCCUUGUGCUCACUGCAUCUUCCGACUUGCGCAUCUGGAAUUGGAUGGGAGUUCAUCAUCGGCACAACCUCAAGUAUAUUGUAUUGUCAGGCUCUUGGACUCUGGCGAGGAGGUUAAGUUCUUCGUUUUUCGCUCUCUUUUUUCAGGGUUAAGUUCUUCACAUCCACUUGUUCAACACUCUAAUCGGAUUGGCUUGAA